rnacentral:lncRNA from 1 species
AGAGCGGCCUAGCAGGCUCUCGAGAGUGAGGGAGGCACUGGGGCCCCUGCCGACUGCCCUGGCUGAGCCAGCCCGGCGUGAACGAAAGCCCGCCCCUGAGACCCCGUGACCCGGCGGCUCCUAGCCACAGGCUUCCUGACUACCUUAUAGGCACCCAGUCACAGUCAGCGCUAGCUCUGUCAAUCACCGUGGGCACCCAAUCAUCACGUGCUCCCAGUGCCUGUGGGACUCCUUGACAGCACGGGCUCCUGGACACCAUGUGCUUCCUAUCACCGUGGCUCCUGAACCACGUGCACCUGAUCACCCCAGGCUUGAGAGAUCGGGCCCUUUUUGCUCGGGAUGGCUUUGUUUCCAGUCGCUAGACUCCUGGUCACUGGCUCCUAGAUACUACUAUCCUUAGUACUCCCAACUACUCUACUUCCAAGCAUUGUAAUUCAGACUAUAUUCCUCUCAACAACUGUGCAGGAUCCUGCCCUGGGUACUUCCAGCUCCUGUCCUUCCAAAGAUUGUACUGGAUAUAAUAUAA